GUGGGUGGAGAAAUUAAUUUAGACGU
rnacentral:piRNA from 1 species